rnacentral:lncRNA from 1 species
AUACAACUUCCUUUCACUUGUUUUUCUUUGCUUUUCAUCUUCUUUUUUUCUUCUUUCAUUUAUCACUUUUUUUGCUUUUUUCGAUGAUGUUGUUUAUUCCAAAUGGGGGUAGUCACAACCUUGGCCAGACUUGGAGAUAACCAGUCUUCGACCCAUGUCCCAAGCGUCAUAUAGGUUGGGAAGAAGGCAGAACUCAAGGGUCACCACCCAUGUUUUGGUUGUAACCAAACCCCAUGACAUUUUUUCUAGCCACCUAAUUCGGAAACCUUCCGCCUGUUUGACCUUUGUAUCAACAACAAGUUUGAUGGGGAUAGCUA